rnacentral:snRNA from 1 species
AUACUGCCUUUGGCAGAACAGGCAGUAAAGUUGGUAUGAUACAGAGGAGAUCAGCAAGACCCCUGUGCAAGAUGCCAAGCCAGUUCCUGAAGAGCUCUUCACCAUU